CCUACGGGCGGCAGCAGUGGGGAAUAUUGGACAAUGGGGGGAACCCUGAUCCAGCCAUGCCGCGUGUGUGAAGAAGGCCCUCGGGUUGUAAAGCACUUUCAGUGAGGAAGAACGCCUGGUGGUUAAUACCCAUCAGGAAAGACAUCACUCACAGAAGAAGCACCGGCUAACUCCGUGCCAGCAGCCGCGGUAAUACGGAGGGUGCGAGCGUUAAUCGGAAUUACUGGGCGUAAAGCGCGCGUAGGUGGCUUGAUAAGCCGGUUGUGAAAGCCCCGGGCUCAACCUGGGAACGGCAUCCGGAACUGUGAAGCUAGAGUGCAGGAGAGGAAGGUAGAAUUCCACGUGUAGCGGUGAAAUGCGUAGAGAUCGGGAGGAAUACCAGUGGCGAAGGCGGCCUUCUGGACUGACACUGACACUGAGGUGCGAAAGCGUGGGUAGCAAACAGGAUUAGAUACCCUUGUAGUC
rnacentral:rRNA from 1 species